rnacentral:lncRNA from 1 species
ACAUACGUGUGGUUGAGCUGCCUGCACCAGCACCACCCGGUCCGAAGCCUCCUGUUCCUCUGCCAGCACCACCAGGUCCAAAACCACCUGUUCCCGUGCCAGCGCCACCUGGUCCAUAGCUUCCUGUUCCUGUACCAGCGCCACCUGGUCCAUAGCUUCCUGUUCCUGUGCCAGCGCCACCUGGUCCAUAGCUUCCUGUUCCCGUGCCAGCACCACCUGGUCCAUAGCCUCCUGUUCCUGUACCAGCGCCACCUGGUCCAUAGCUUCCUGUGCCAGCGCCACCUGGUCCAUAGCUUCCUGUUCCAGCCCCACCUGGUCCAUAGCUUCCUGUGCCAGCACCACCCGGUCCGAAGCCUCCUGUUCCUGUACCAGCACCACCAGGCCCAUAUCUGCCUGGUCCUGUACCUGCUCCUCCAGUCCUUGACCUCCCGGAGUGUAAACACCUGGUCCAUAGCUGCCUGGUCCUGUGCCAACACCACCUGCUCCAUAACCACCUGGCCUGGUUCCUACACCACCCAGUCCUGUCCCGGCAGAGCCAUCCCCAUAUCCACCUGGUCCAGAGCCACCAGGUCCAUAACUUCCAGAACCGCCAGGCACCAAACCUCCAGAGGUGAACUCACCACCUGGACCCACACCACCGCCAUAUCCCCCCAUUCCACCACCGACUCCACCGGGGCCCACUCCUACACCUCCAGUCCCAAGUGUUCCAGCACCCCCAGGACCACCACCAACGCCUCUGCCUCCAUAGCCUCCAGGCCCACCAGCCCCAGGUGCCAAGCCUGCUCCUCCAGGACCUCCUCCAACUCCUCCAAGACCACCAGCACCCCCAGGACCACCUCCAACUCCUCCAUGACCAGUUCCAACGCCCCCAGGACCACCUCCAACUCCUCCAGGACUAGUUCCAACGCCCCCAGGACCACCUCCAACUCCACCAGUACCGGCUCCAACGCCCCCAGGACCACCUCCAACUCCUCCUGCUACCCCACCGACUCCACCUACAUUCUCUCAAACAGAAGCGUACCAGUGGGUCCAGCUGUCGUCACUGCACCCCUGCCAGUGCUGGUUCCAUUCACUGUACCAACACCAGUGCCGGUCCCUGCACCUGCUCCUCCAGUACCUGUCCCGGUCCCUGCACCUGCUCCUCCAGUGCUGGUCCCUGCACCUGCACCUCCAGUGCCGGUCCCUGAUCCUGCCCCUGCUCCUCCAGUGCCUGUCCCGGCUCCUGCCCCAGGUGCAACACCACCAGCUCCUGGUACUGCACCAUAG